rnacentral:tRNA from 2 species
AGGGGUAUAGCUCAGCUGGUAGAGCGACGGUCUCCAAAACCGUAGGCCGGGGGUUCGAGUCCCUCUGCCCCUGCCA